rnacentral:rRNA from 1 species
CCCUUAGAUGUCCUGGGCCGCACGCGCGCUACACUGAGUGUCUGAGAUACGAGUCUGCCUGGUCCGGCAAGGUCUAGGUAAUCGCUAAAAGACACAGCAUGCUUGGGAUAGAUUAUUGCAAAUAUUAAUCUUGAACGAGGAAUUCCUAGUAAGCGCAAGUCAACAGCUUGCGUUGAUUACGUCCCUGCCCUUUGUACACACCGCCCGUCGCUACUACUGAUUGGAUGUUUAAGCGAGGUUCUCGAACUGCUAGCGACUUAGCUUCGGUGAGGUCGCAGUGUGGGAAGUGAACCGAGCUUUGGUGUCUAGAGGAAGUAAAAGUCGUAACA